rnacentral:rRNA from 1 species
AUCUGCCUGAGCUUGGAGUUUGCACUGGUUAGUACUGAGGUGGGAAACCAUCAAGGAAUACCAGCUGCUGUAGGUU